CAUUAGAAAGCUAAGACAGGAUAAAGCAUUAGCCUUUUAAGCUAAAGAAUGGUGGCUCCUAACCACCUCUAGUGA
rnacentral:tRNA from 1 species